rnacentral:lncRNA from 1 species
UUGAGCCAGGAUGAGCCAGGAAAAGGACUUUCACAAGGUAAUGUCAUCAGUUAAGGCAAGGACCGGCCAUUUACCAGUGGAAUAAAUAAAUACCGGCCAUUUUGUGGUGGAAUGUCAUCAGUUAAGGUGGGGCAGGGCAUAUUCACUUCUUUUGUGAUUCUUCAGUUACUUCAGGCCAUCUGGAUGUAUACAUGCAAGUCAC